CGCGUUGGCCCAAUUGAUUGAUGGUGCUUGCACCUGAUUGAUUUUGGUCGCCAACGAGUGGCGGACGGGUGAGUAACACGUAGGUAACCUGCCCAGAAGCGGGGGACAACAUUUGGAAACAGAUGCUAAUACCGCAUAACAACGUUGUUCGCAUGAACAACGCUUAAAAGAUGGCUUCUCGCUAUCACUUCUGGAUGGACCUGCGGUGCAUUAGCUUGUUGGUGGGGUAAUGGCCUACCAAGGCGAUGAUGCAUAGCCGAGUUGAGAGACUGAUCGGCCACAAUGGGACUGAGACACGGCCCAUACUCCUACGGGAGGCAGCAGUAGGGAAUCUUCCACAAUGGGCGCAAGCCUGAUGGAGCAACACCGCGUGAGUGAAGAAGGGUUUCGGCUCGUAAAGCUCUGUUGUUAAAGAAGAACACGUAUGAGAGUAACUGUUCAUACGUUGACGGUAUUUAACCAGAAAGUCACGGCUAACUACGUGCCAGCAGCCGCGGUAAUACGUAGGUGGCAAGCGUUAUCCGGAUUUAUUGGGCGUAAAGAGAGUGCAGGCGGUUUUCUAAGUCUGAUGUGAAAGCCUUCGGCUUAACCGGAGAAGUGCAUCGGAAACUGGAUAACUUGAGUGCAGAAGAGGGUAGUGGAACUCCAUGUGUAGCGGUGGAAUGCGUAGAUAUAUGGAAGAACACCAGUGGCGAAGGCGGCUACCUGGUCUGCAACUGACGCUGAGACUCGAAAGCAUGGGUAGCGAACAGGAUUAGAUACCCUGGUAGUCCAUGCCGUAAACGAUGAGUGCUAGGUGUUGGAGGGUUUCCGCCCUUCAGUGCCGGAGCUAACGCAUUAAGCACUCCGCCUGGGGAGUACGACCGCAAGGUUGAAACUCAAAGGAAUUGACGGGG
rnacentral:rRNA from 2 species